AUUAGUACAAUACCGGGGCAGUACCAUGAUCUGAAAGGUAGUUUGCCCAAAGCGAGACUUAGCCAUUGCACUCAGGUUGUGCUGACAUUUGUGAAUUUCUCCAAACUUUGGAAUCUCGACUGCAUAAUUUUUAAAGUGGCGACCGCGUUUGUGCUCUUCUUAU